CCAUCACCAAUGAUCCUUCAUAUGACAGGACAACACUUUAUAUGGUGUGAACCAUUUGACACUUAUCCAAGAACCUAUGAUUUUCUGCAUGCUUCAUACCUUCUUUCCGUUGAGAAGAAAAGCAGGUGAAGUGGGUCUCCGCAGCUUCUGCUUCUCAUUGGAAUUGGACCAAGGCCUUAUCUUUCUUCGUGGGGAAUUCCUGUUGCUCAUCAUUUACGUUAUGUAGG